rnacentral:rRNA from 1 species
GAUGAACGCUGGCGGCGUGCCUAAUACAUGCAAGUCGAGCGAACAGACGAGGAGCUUGCUCCUCUGACGUUAGCGGCGGACGGGUGAGUAACACGUGGAUAACCUACCUAUAAGACUGGGAUAACUUCGGGAAACCGGAGCUAAUACCGGAUAAUAUAUUGAACCGCAUGGUUCAAUAGUGAAAGACGGUUUUGCUGUCACUUAUAGAUGGAUCCGCGCCGCAUUAGCUAGUUGGUAAGGUAACGGCUUACCAAGGCGACGAUGCGUAGCAGACCUGAGAGGGUGAUCGGCCACACUGGAACUGAGACACGGUCCAGACUCCUACGGGAGGCAGCAGUAGGGAAUCUUCCGCAAAGGGCGAAAGCCUGACGGAGCAACGCCGCGUGAGUGAUGAAGGUCUUCGGAUCGUAAAACUCUGUUAUUAGGGAAGAACAAAUGUGUAAGUAACUAUGCACGUCUUGACGGUACCUAAUCAGAAAGCCACGGCUAACUACGUG